rnacentral:rRNA from 1 species
GACGAACGCUGGCGGCGUGCCUAAUACAUGCAAGUCGAGCGAAGUUUUUCUGGUGCUUGCACUAGAAAAACUUAGCGGCGAACGGGUGAGUAACACGUAAAGAACCUGCCUCAUAGACUGGGACAACUAUUGGAAACGAUAGCUAAUACCGGAUAACAGUAUUUCUCGCAUGAGAGAUAUUUAAAAGUUGGUUAUGCUAACACUAUGAGAUGGCUUUGCGGUGCAUUAGCUAGUUGGUGGGGUAAAGGCCCACCAAGGCGACGAUGCAUAGCCGACCUGAGAGGGUGAUCGGCCACACUGGGACUGAGACACGGCCCAGACUCCUACGGGAGGCGGCAGUAGGGAAUCUUCCGCAAUGGGCGAAAGCCUGACGGAGCAACGCCGCGUGAGUGAAGAAGGAUUUCGGUUCGUGAAGCUCUGUUGUUAGGGAAGAAUGGAUAUGUAGUAACUAUACAUGUAAGAGACGGUACCUAACCAGAAAGCCACGGCUAACUACGUG